UUGCUCCUCUGAUUCAGCGGCGGACGGGUGAGUAACACGUGGGCAACCUGCCUGUAAGACUGGGAUAACUUCGGGAAACCGGAGCUAAUACCGGAUAACUCAUAAGACCACAUGGUCUUAUGAUAAAAGAUGGUUUCGGCUAUCACUUACAGAUGGGCCCGCGGCGCAUUAGCUAGUUGGUGAGGUAACGGCUCACCAAGGCGACGAUGCGUAGCCGACCUGAGAGGGUGAUCGGCCACACUGGGACUGAGACACGGCCCAGACUCCUACGGGAGGCAGCAGUAGGGAAUCUUCCGCAAUGGACGAAAGUCUGACGGAGCAACGCCGCGUGAGCGAUGAAGGCCUUCGGGUCGUAAAGCUCUGUUGUUAGGGAAGAACAAGUAUCAGUUAACUGCUGGUACCUUGACGGUACCUAACGAGAAAGCCACGGCUAACUACGUGCCAGCAGCCGCGGUAAUACGUAGGUGGCAAGCGUUGUCCGGAUUUAUUGGGCGUAAAGCGCGCGCAGGCGGUUCUUUAAGUCUGAUGUGAAAGCCCCCGGCUCAACCGGGGAGGGUCAUUGGAAACUGGGGAACUUGAGUGCAGAAGAGAAGAGCGGAAUUCCACGUGUAGCGGUGAAAUGCGUAGAGAUGUGGAGGAACACCAGUGGCGAAGGCGGCUCUUUGGUCUGUAACUGACGCUGAGGCGCGAAAGCGUGGGGAGCAAACAGGAUUAGAUACCCUGGUAGUCCACGCCGUAAACGAUGAGUGCUAAGUGUUGGAGGGUUUCCGCCCUUCAGUGCUGCAGCUAACGCAUUAAGCA
rnacentral:rRNA from 1 species